CUCUCGAAUGGGAUUGAACCAGGGACUUCUCGCCCACUAGCCUAGCUCGCUAUCCACUGCGCUACGAAGA